ensembl:lncRNA
CCUCUCCCUCAGUAGUUUGCCUGUGUAGACGGUUGAUAGAUUGGUACAUGAUGCCUCUCCCUCAGUAGUUUGCCUGUGUAGACGGUUGAUAGAUUGGUACAUGAUGCCUCUCCCUCAGUAGUUUGCCUGUGUAGAUGGUUGAUAGAUUGGCACAUGAUGCCUCUCCCUCAGUAGUUUGCCUGUGUAGAUGGUUGAUAGAAAGUUGUACUAAAUUAAUGUCUUCUUCCGUAGCUUGCUUAGCAUGCUCUCCCAUCAAGAAAAUGGAGUGUGGUGUGUGAAGAUGUGAUGUGUGAAGAUUUGAGGACGGGAAUUGGUGUGAAGAUUUGAGGACGGGAAUUGGUGUGAAGAUUUGAGGACGGGAAUUGGAUAUGUGUACCAAUAUGAAACUCCGGCUGGAUCUGAAAUUGAGGUGUACUCAAACAGUGUUUGUGGAGAUCUUAUGACUCCAAUAGCCUACUGUGGCAUGAACAAGCCUUUUGAGGCACAUCUCUCUGAUAAGGUGAUAAAUGUGAACAACAGUGCUGUCAUCCUCUCUGAAUGCCUGAAUCUGACAUUCACAUUCUUUCAUGUUCUCCAGGGCAAGGUGGAGGAGUGCCAUUUGUAUUACAUUGUUGCAGGGCAAGGUGGAGGAGUGCCAUUUGUAUUACAUUGUUGCAGGAAAUGGAGACAAAGCCAAAGCCACUGGCCACACAAAGGAAAUCACUGCUGGUGUUCUUGGUUCUGCUGCUGGGCAUUGCUGGUUUCUUAGUGUACAGAUAUGGCAACAUUCCUUGGAGAGACAAACAUCCAUUUGCUCUUACACAGCUUAGAUCGGCUGGGUCGGGACUACCUUAACACCAACAGGGAAAAACAAAGGGACCAGGGGGAUGGGGUGGAAGAGGAGAGGGAGCCACCACACAGUCAGGAGACACAUGUUGAGUCCUCUCUGCUGAAUGGGCAUCUUGUGAACAGGGUUAACGAUGAGACUAAGGAAGCGACUCCUGGUGCACAGAGUCCAGGACCUCCUCAGACGAAUGGAGGACCUCCCAUGUCUGACAGGUUGGAGAACAACCCUGUUGGUCAGUGGAUGAAGAAAACUGCUCUGGUGAACAAGCAGGACCAGGACUGGUCAGCAACGGCAUGAAGCCAGUUGAAAAUAUAUAGCAUAUAAGAUGAAACUAAGUGUAAAUAUAAUAAAAAAUAACAUGAUAUACACUGUAAUAUAGAACAGUAUAAUAUAAUAUGACAUGAUAUAAUAUCGUAACACUUACUUGUAUAGUGUUAUAUAUUCUAAUGAAUGCAUUCUUAACAACAUGAAUGAUGCAUUAAUGCAUACAUAGGACAUAACUGUAUAGUAAAAUUAUAAUAUAAUACUGUGCUGGUAAGCUGCUAGCUGUGGGGUUGCCCCCAGCUGUGGUUUCUAUUAUUCAGAGUAUCUAAGCUCAACUUCAAAUCCAUAGUUUUUAGCUUAGUUCUUACCGUAAACUAGCACUUCUUAGAGACAAAGUUAUGGGACAUGCUGUAUAACUACUUACCAUUCUGAAGUGUAACAGUCAAGUUUAUAUGUAACAAUUGUUCAUCCCUUUUUUAAAUGUUUAUUUAUAUAUUUGUUUGCUUGAUUAGAUUGAAUUAGUAUGACUAAUGCAUUAUUUUACCCUCCCGUAUAGAGGGACAUUAUUUUACCCUCCUGUAUAGAGGGACAUUAUUUUACCCUCCUGUAUAGAGGGACAUUAUUUUACCCUCCUGUAUAGAGGGACAUUAUUUUACCCUCCCAUAUAGAGGGACAUUAUUUUACCCUCCCGUAUAGAGGGACAUUAUUUUACCCUCCCGUAUAGAGGGACAUUAUUUUACCCUCCCGUAUAGAGGGACAUUAUUUUACCCUCCCGUAUAGAGGGACAUUAUUUUACCCUCCCGUAUAGAGGGACAUUAUUUUACCCUCCUGUAUAGAGGGACAUUAUGUUACCCUCCUG